GUGGAACCAGAGAUUGUGAACAGUAUGGACUCGAGGCAUUAAUAAACCCUCAGGGAGAAAUUGUUUGUGCCUGUUCACAAGGUCAAGUUCAGGAUGAGAAUGAUGAAUGCCAAGUAGAGUUUACGGAAGGAACUAACUGUAAUAAUUGAUUGAUUGAUCAAUUGAUUGAUUAAUUGAUUAGGAUGAGAAUGAUGAAUGCCAAGUAGAGUUUACUGAAGGAACUAAUUGUAAUAAUUGAUUGAUUGAUCAAUUGAUUGAUUGA